GCCGGCGACCGGCGGACGGGUGCGUAACGCGUAUGCAACCUACCUUCAACAGGGGGAUAAUCCGAAGAAAUUUGGUCUAAUACCCCAUAAUAUUCCGACAGGCAUCUGUUGGAGUUGAAAGCUUCGGUGGUUGGAGAUGGGCAUGCGUUGUAUUAGCUAGAUGGUGAGGUAAUGGCUCACCAUGGCGAUGAUACAUAGGGGGACUGAGAGGUUUUCCCCCCACACUGGUACUGAGACACGGACCAGACUCC
rnacentral:rRNA from 1 species